rnacentral:misc_RNA from 1 species
AACCUUAUGGACCUGCGGGCGUAUACCUGCGGAGGGAUCAUUACAGAGUUAUACAACUCCCAUACCAUAUGUUAACUUACUCAGUUAUGCCUCGGCGUAAGCUGGGCGGAGCGGACGUGUUACCCGGUAGCUACCCUGUAGCUACCCUGUAGCCGCGGCCGACCUCCAGCCCGCCGGUGGUACACUAAACUCUUGUUUUACUGUAUCUUCUGAGCGUCUUAUUUUAAUAAGUCAAAACUU